rnacentral:misc_RNA from 1 species
UUUCUUAUAUCUUCUUCUUCUCCUCCUUUUUUCCUAUCUACGUACGUUACAUAUUUAUAUGGCAUUUUCGAGAUACGCCGUUACUGCUUCACUUCUUCUUGUCUCUCUUCUGCUCCUCCAUCUUGCAGAAGCUCAAGAAAAGAUUGGCAUCAAUGGAGCAAAUGAGCCUGCACAUGCCCCUUCAAGCCAGACCAUAGAUUGUGGAGUGGCAUGCGAGGGAAGGUGCAAAAUGUCAAAAAGGCCUCGUCUGUGCCAAAGGGCUUGUGGGAGCUGCUGCGCCAAGUGCAAAUGUGUGCCUCCCGGGACUUAUGGCAACCUUGAGUUCUGUCCUUGCUAUGCGAACAUUACCACCCGUAAACAAGUUCGCAAAUGUCCUUGAACCACAUCUAAUGGGUGCUUUUCGGGCAUUAAUUGCUAGUCACUACCAAGGACAAAACUAAUAUGCCCUGCAACUCUUCUAUUCUUUGCUUCUGUCUGUGUUGUGAAAUAAAUUAAUAUUAUUGGUUGUACUAUGAUUUUCUUUUCUUUAAUGUUAAAUUAAUAAUAAAGAGAUGAUGCUAUGUCACUUCAUUUUCAUGAUAGCUGGCCUUUGAUGUCUUUUAAAUCAAG